CGGGUCUAGCGGCGGACGGGUGAGUAACGCGUGGGAACGUGCCCUUCUCUACGGAAUAGCCCCGGGAAACUGGGAGUAAUACCGUAUACGCCCUUUGGGGGAAAGAUUUAUCGGAGAAGGAUCGGCCCGCGUUGGAUUAGGUAGUUGGUGGGGUAAUGGCCCACCAAGCCGACGAUCCAUAGCUGGUUUGAGAGGAUGAUCAGUCACACUGGGACUGAGACACGGCCCAGACUCCUACGGGAGGCAGCAGUGGGGAAUCUUAGACAAUGGAGGCAACCCUGAUCUAGCCAUGCCGCGUGAGUGAUGAAGGCCUUAGGGUUGUAAAGCUCUUUCAGCUGGGAAGAUAAUGACGGUACCAGCAGAAGAAGCCCCGGCUAACUCCGUGCCAGCAGCCGCGGUAAUACGGAGGGGGCUAGCGUUGUUCGGAAUUACUGGGCGUAAAGCGCACGUAGGCGGACUGGAAAGUCAGAGGUGAAAUCCCAGGGCUCAACCUUGGAACUGCCUUUGAAACUAUCAGUCUGGAGUUCGAGAGAGGUGAGUGGAAUUCCGAGUGUAGAGGUGAAAUUCG
rnacentral:rRNA from 1 species